rnacentral:rRNA from 1 species
GUCUUUUUGAUUUUAAUUUAAAGUCUGACCUGCCCAAUGAUUAUUUGAAUGGCCGCAGUAUUUUGACUGUGCAAAGGUAGCAUAAUCAUUAGUUUUUUAAUUGAAAGCUGGAAUGAAUGGUUUGAUGAGGAAAUGGCUGUCUCAAUUUAAUUGAAUUAGAAUUUUAAUUUUGAGUUAAAAAGCUUAAAUUUGUUAUAAAGACGAGAAGACCCUAUAGAGUUUAAUAUUUUAAUUUUUAAUUUAUUUGAGGUUUUAGUAAUUUUUUAUAAGUUAAAAUAUUUUGUUGGGGUGAUAUAAAAAUUUAAAUAACUUUUUAUUUUUAAAAACAUUUAUUUAUGAAUAUUUGAUCCUGAUUUUUGGAUUAUAAGAUUAAAUUACCUUAGGGAUAACAGCGUAAUUUUUUCGGAGAGUUCUUAUCGAUGAAGAAGUUUGCGA